rnacentral:ribozyme from 13 species
GUGAAAAAAAAAAAAAAAAAAAAAAAAAAAAAAAAAAAAAAAAAAAAA